rnacentral:rRNA from 1 species
CCUACGGGAGGCUGCAGUGGGGAAUAUUGGGCACUGGGCGCAAGCCUGACCCAGCAACGCCGCGUGAAGGAAGAAGGCUUUCGGGUUGUACACUUCUUUUCUCAGGGCCGAAGCCAGUGACGGUACCUGAGGAAUAAGCCACGGCUAACUACGUGCCAGCAGCCGCGGUAAUACGUAGGUGACAAGCGUUAUCCGGAUUUACUGGUUGUAAAGGGCGUGUAGGCGGUGACGCAAGUCAGAUGUGAAAACCACGGGCUCAACCUGUGGCCUGCAUUUGAAACUGUGUUUCUUGAGUACUGGAGAGGCAGACGGAAUUCCUAGUGUAGCGGUGAAAUGCGUAGAUAUUAGGAGGAACACCAGUGGCGAAGGCGGUCUGCUGGACAGCAACUGACGCUGAGGCGCGAAAGCGUGGGGAGCAAACAGGAUUAGAUAUCCGGGUAGUC